UACAGAGGUCUCAAGCGUUGUUCGGAAUCACUGGGCGUAAAGCGUGCGUAGGCUGUUUCGUAAGUCGUGUUUGAAAGGCGCGGGCUCAACCCGCGGACGGCACAUGAUACUGCGAGACUAGAGUAAUGGAGGGGGAACCGGAAUUCUCGGUGUAGCAGUGAAAUGCGUAGAUAUCGAGAGGAACACUCGUGGCGAAGGCGGGUUCCUGGACAUUAACUGACGCUGAGGCACGAAGGCCAGGGGAGCGAAAGGG
rnacentral:rRNA from 1 species